rnacentral:misc_RNA from 1 species
UUUUUCCCCCCCUAAAAUUCUUAUUUCUCAGAAAAGUGAUAACUUUCAGGAGUUUCAGAAUGUUUUAUUUAUAUUUUUCUAAAGAUUGCAUAUGGUUUCAUGGAGUUACUAUUUUGAGCUCAGAAGAUUGUCAUUCUGAAAACUACCUGGCGUCCCAACAAUCCGGUUCCUGUAUAUAUAUAUUUUUUUUCAAAAUUCUUCUACUUAUUUUUUAGAGAAAUGAUCAUUGUCAGGACUUUCAAAAGGCUCCAUUUUUAGGUUUUAAUGCUUUGAGUAACAAAGAUCCCCAAUGUUUUAAUGUUUUGAGGAACAAAGAUUCUAUCUUCUGCGCAAGCAAAUGAUUAGUCUGGUAUUAUUUCUUUUACUGAAAUUGGAAAGUUGCCCAAGAUAGUUUCAUUGUGAAAGCUAACUGGUGUUUCACAAUAUAUUUACUGAUAUGAUUGUCAUCGGAAUGUUGGAUUUCUUUGGGAUUUGCAUUGUCUCCUGGCCUUGAUUAUUAUAAGUGGUAAUAGCUAAUGCAUUAAAAUGAAUAUUCUUACACUUUCUAUUCCUCUUGGACAAAAUUGGUUUGGCAUUUGCUUCAUGCUCCCCCAGAUAUAAUUGGAAUCUAGUCAACUAUGGUUUCAUUGAGUGACAAUUUUGAGCUUGGAAGAUAAUAUCGUUCUGAAAAAUACUUUGUGUUCGACAAUCCAUGUCACGACCCAACCUAUGGG